AGUGAACGCUGGCGGUAGGCCUAACACAUGCAAGUCGAACGGCAGCACAGUAAGAGCUUGCUCUUACGGGUGGCGAGUGGCGGACGGGUGAGGAAUACAUCGGACUCUACUUUUUCGUGGGGGAUAACGUAGGUAAACUUACGCUAAUACCGCAUACGACCUACGGGUGAAAGCAUGGGAUCUUCGGACCUUGCGCGAUUGAAUGAGCCGAUGUCGGAUUAGCUAGUUGGCGGGGUAAAGGCCCACCAAGGCGACGAUCCGUAGCUGGUCUGAGAGGAUGAUCAGCCACACUGGAACUGAGACACGGUCCAGACUCCUACGGGAGGCAGCAGUGGGGAAUAUUGGACAAUGGGCGCAAGCCUGAUCCAGCCAUACCGCGUGGGUGAAGAAGGCCUUCGGGUUGUAAAGCCCUUUUGUUGGGAAAGAAAAGCAGCAGGUUAAUACCCCGCUGUCCUGACGGUACCCAAAGAAUAAGCACCGGCUAACUUCGUG
rnacentral:rRNA from 1 species